rnacentral:rRNA from 1 species
AGAGUUUGAUCCUGGCUCAGGAUGAACGCUGGCGGCAUGCCUAAUACAUGCAAGUCGAACGGGGUGCUUGCACCCAGUGGCGAACGGGUGAGUAACACGUAUCUAAUCUACCUUUUAGUGGGGGAUAACAGUUGGAAACGACUGCUAAUACCGCAUACGACGUCAUUAUCGCAUGAGAAGACGUUAAAAGAUCCGUUUGGAUCGCUAGAAGAUGAGGAUGCGGCGUAUUAGCUAGUAGGUGAGGUAAUGGCUCACCUAGGCGAUGAUACGUAGCCGAACUGAGAGGUUGAUCGGCCACAUUGGGACUGAGAUACGGCCCAGACUCCUACGGGAGGCAGCAGUAGGGAAUUUUUCACAAUGGACGAAAGUCUGAUGAAGCAAUGCCGCGUGAGUGAUGACGGUCUUCGGAUUGUAAAGCUCUGUUGUAAGGGAAGAAAUGGUAGGAUAGGAAAUGAUCCUGCUUUGACGGUACCUUACCAGAAAGCCACGGCUAACUAUGUGCCAGCAGCCGCGGUAAUACAUAGGUGGCAAGCGUUAUCCGGAUUUAUUGGGCGUACAGGGUGCGUAGGUGGUUCGAUAAGUUUAGGGUUAAAUCCCGGGGCUCAACCCCGGUUCGCCUUGAAACUGUCGUACUAGAAUACAGAAGAGGUAGAAUGGAAUUCC